rfam:Loxodonta africana unplaced genomic scaffold scaffold_20, whole genome shotgun sequence.
GCAUUGGUGGUUCAGUGGUACAAUUCUUGCCUUCCACGUGGGAGACCCAGGUUCAAUUCCCGGCCAAUGAG